rnacentral:lncRNA from 1 species
CGCUGAUGUAAAGAGAGAUUGGAAAUGAUAUAUCUGGCUGGGCAGGUCACUCAUGCCUGUAAUCCCAGCACUUUGGGAGGCUGAGGCAGGCAGAUCACCUAAGGCCAGGAAUUCGACACCAGCCUGGCCAACGUGGCAAAACCCGUCUCUACUAAAAAUACAAAAAUUAGCCGGGCGUGGUGGUGUGCGCCUGGAAUCCCAGCUACCCAGGAGGCUGAGGCAGGAGAAAUGCUGGAACCCGGGAGGCAGAGGCUGCAGUGAGCUGAGAUCAUGCCACUACUGCACUCCAGCCUGGGUGACACAGCAAGACUCCCUCUAAAAAAAGAAAAAAAGAAAAGAAAAGAAAAGAAAAUGAUAUAUCCAUGAUGAAUUAAAAUGGAGUGGAACCCACUGAUGGGAAAGCCACAGAAGGUACCAGUUAUCCACUCACUGACUUAGGUGCCUCCACUAGAAUUCUCAGCACGUUUUUGCAGAACCUGGGCAACAAGAGCGAAACCCCAUCUCAAAACCACAACAACAACAACAGGACAACAGAGAUGGACGACGGAUCGGGAAAGCCAACCAGACAGCGUGAGGCCAGGACGGAAAGAGGCACAGGGAGCUCUGCUCAGUGUCGCUACAGGGGAUCUCUCAGGCUCACAACGGGCCACUCCUCUAGGGAAGUUCUGGUCUCAUCAUGAUCCUUGUUUGGUCUCACUCCCCAUGUCCUUCUCUGUCCCUCCUCCAACUGCCAUUUAUUUAUUUAACUGAAAAAGUACCAAUCACCCACAUAGGCAUGACAUACUCAUCCAUGUACCCAUUUCUUAAAAUUGAUCAUUGUUAACAUUUGGUGUAAUUUGCUUUAUUUAUUUUUAAUGAAAUAAAUAAAACUUUACAGAAAAUGCUUUAUUUUUCUCUUUGUUCCCUCCCCAUCCUAUAUUUUUCUCCUAAAAAACCCUAUUAUCAGAAAUAUUAGUGUGUAUUCCCAGUUUCGACUUUUUAUUUUAUUACACACACACUCCCACACAUAGCUGUGACAAUGAACUUCACAUAGUAUGGUUCUGUAUUUUCUCUUUGUUUUUCAAACUUACAUAAGUAUUUUACUAUUUCUCAUGGAAAAACUCACUUUUCCCAUCCAACGUUAUGUUUCCUUAAGAUCUCUCUAUGUUGAUAUAAAGAAAUCUAGCUCAUUCUUUUUAAUGAAAAUAAAGUAUAUUUUAUGAAUGUAACUCAUGCUAACCAUGGCAAUAAAAGCUCCAUCAAGCAUGCAU